AUACUUACCUGGCAGGGGAGAUACCAUGAUCACGAAGGUGGUUUUCCUAGGGCGAGGCUUAUCCAUUGCACUCCGGAUGUGCUGACCCCUGCGAUUUCCCCAAAUGUGGGAAACUCGACUGCAUAAUUUGUGGUAGUGGGGGACUGCGUUCGCGCUCUCCCCUA
rnacentral:snRNA from 1 species